rnacentral:rRNA from 1 species
GUCUGGUGCCAGCAGCCGCGGUAAUUCCAGCUCUCAAAAUGCAUAGAAUUAUUGCUGCGGUUAAAAAGCUCGUAGUUGGAUCUGUGCCCCGCGGCGGCGGUCUCGUCCCGGGAGUACUGUCCCGGGCUAGGCUGUCUUCGUGCCGGUUUAGUCGCUGGUGGAUGCUGCGAGUUUACUUUGAACAAAUCAGAGUGCUCCACACAGGCGUCUCGCCUGAAUGUUCGUGCAUGGAAUAAUAGAAGAGGAUUUCGGUUCUAUUUUAUUGGUUUUAUGACUGAGGUAAUGGUUAAUAGAGACAAACGGGGGCAUUUGUACCGCUGCGUGAGAGGUGAAAUUCUUGGACCGCAGCGAGACGCACGACAGCGAAAGCAUUUGCCAAGCAUGUCUUCAUUAAUCAAGAACGAAAGUCAGAGGUUCGAAGGCGAUCAGAUACCGCCCUAGUUCUGACCGUAAACGAUGCCAACUAGCGAUCCGCCGGCGGAUCAUUCGCCCUGGUGGGGAGCUUCCCGGAAACGAAAGUCUUCCGGUUCCGGGGGAAGUAUGGUUGCAAAGCUGAAACUUAAAGGAAUUGACGGAAGGGCACCACCAGGAGUGGAGCCUGCGGCUUAAUUUGACUCAACACGGGGAAACUCACCCGGCCCGGACACCGCGAGGAUUGACAGAUUGACAGCUCUUUCAUGAUUCGGUGGAUGGUGGUGCAUGGCCGUUCUUAGUUCGUGGAGCGAUUUGUCUGGUUUAUUCCGAUAACGAGCGAGACUCUAGCCUGCUAAAUAGUCCAGUCAUCCCGCUAGUGACUGCCGACUUCUUAGAGGGAUUAUCGGCGUUCAGCCGCAAGAGACUGAGCAAUAACAGGUCUGUGAUGCCCUUAGAUGUCCGGGGCUGCACGCGCGCUACACUGGCGAAGGCAGCGUGCCUGUCCUCUCCCGAAAGGGAUGGGUAAACCAUUGAAAAUCGCCGUGAUGGGAUCGGAAAUUGCAAU